UUACCGGCUUGACAUCUAUGAAAGGGUGCAAACAACAGGUGCUGCAUGGCUGUCGUCAGCUCGUGUCGUGAGAUGUUGGGUUAAGUCCCGCAACGAGCGCAACCCUGUGCCUGUUGCCUCGGUCUCUGGCAGACUGCCCUGUGAAAGGGGAGGAAGGUGGGGAUGACGUCAAGUCAGUAUGGCCCUUACGCCGGGCUGCACACGUACUACAAUGCAGUACAAAUGCCACCGCGAGGAGAGGAAUCUCAAACUGGCCCAGUUCGGAUUGAAGGCUGCAACUCGCCUUCAUGAAGCCGGAAUCGCUAGUAAUGGCGAUCAGCACGCGCCGUGAAUACGUUCCCGGGCCUUGUACACACCGCCCGUCACAUCAUGGAAGUCGUGAGCGAA
rnacentral:rRNA from 1 species